rnacentral:tRNA from 1 species
GUCACUAUGGCCGAGUGGUUAAGGCGUGUGACUAGAAUUCACAUGGGAUUUUCCCGCACAGGUUCAAAUCCUGUUGGUGACG